rnacentral:rRNA from 1 species
UGCCCUGUACACACGGAUAACAUACCGAAAGGUAUGCUAAUACGAGAUAAUAUGCUUUUAUCGCAUGGUAGAAGUAUCAAAGCUCCGGCGGUACAGGAUGGACCCGCGUCUGAUUAGCUAGUUGGUAAGGUAACGGCUUACCAAGGCGACGAUCAGUAGCCGACCUGAGAGGGUGAUCGGCCACAUUGGAACUGAGAUACGGUCCAAACUCCUACGGGAGGCAGCAGUGGGGAAUAUUGCACAAUGGGCGAAAGCCUGAUGCAGCAACGCCGCGUGAGCGAUGAAGGCCUUCGGGUCGUAAAGCUCUGUCCUCAAGGAAGAUAAUGACGGUACUUGAGGAGGAAGCCCCGGCUAACUACGUGCCAGCAGCCGCGGUAAUACGUAGGGGGCUAGCGUUAUCCGGAAUUACUGGGCGUAAAGGGUGCGUAGGUGGUUUCUUAAGUCAGAGGUGAAAGGCUACGGCUCAACCGUAGUAAGCCUUUGAAACUGGGAAACUUGAGUGCAGGAGAGGAGAGUGGAAUUCCUAGUGUAGCGGUGAAAUGCGUAGAUAUUAGGAGGAACACCAGUUGCGAAGGCGGCUCCCUGGACUGUAACUGACACUGAGGCACGAAAGCGUGGGGAGCAAACAGGAUUAGAUACCCUGGUAGUCCACGCCGUAAACGAUGAGUACUAGCUGUCGGAGGUUACCCCCUUCGGUGGCGCAG